rnacentral:rRNA from 1 species
AGAGUUUGAUCCUGGCUCACGAUGAACGCUGGCGGCGUGCUUAACACAUGCAAGUCGAACGAAGCACUCUAUUUGAUUUCCUUCGGGAUUGAUUAUUUUGUGACUGAGUGGCGGACGGGUGAGUAACGCGUGGGUAACCUGCCUUGUACAGGGGGAUAACAGUUGGAAACGGCUGCUAAUACCGCAUAAGCGCACAGUACCGCAUGGUAUAGUGUGAAAAACUCCGGUGGUAUAAGAUGGACCCGCGUUUGAUUAGCUGGUUGGUGGGGUAACGGCCUACCAAGGCGACGAUCAAUAGCCGACCUGAGAGGGUGACCGGCCACAUUGGGACUGAGACACGGCCCAAACUCCUACGGGAGGCAGCAGUGGGGAAUAUUGCACAAUGGGCGAAAGCCUGAUGCAGCGACGCCGCGUGAGCGAAGAAGUAUUUCGGUAUGUAAAGCUCUAUCAGCAGGGAAGAUAAUGACGGUACCUGACUAAGAAGCACCGGCUAAAUACGUGCCAGCAGCCGCGGUAAUACGUAUGGUGCAAGCGUUAUCCGGAUUUACUGGGUGUAAAGGGAGCGCACGCGGUGCGGCAAGUCUGAUGUGAAAGCCCGGGGCUCAACCCCGGUACUGCAUUGGAAACUGUCGUACCUAGAGUGUCGGAGGGGUAAGCGGAAUUCCUAGUGUACCGGUGACAUGCGUAGAUAUUAGGAGGAACACCAGUGGCGAAGGCGGCUUACUGGACGAUAACUGACGCUGAGGCUCGAAAGCGUGGGGAGCAAACAGGAUUAGAUACCGUGGUAGUCCACGCCGUAGACGAUGAAUACUAGGUGUCGGGAGGCAUUGCCUUUCGGUGCCGUCGCAAACGCAGUAAGUAUUCCACCUGGGGAGUACGUUCGCAAGAAUGAAACUCAAAGGAAUUGACGGGGACCCGCACAAGCGGUGGAGCAUGUGGUUUAAUUCGAAGCAACGCGAAGAACCUUACCAAGUCUUGACAUCCUUCUGACCGGUACUUAAUCGUACCUUCUCUUCGGAGCAGGAGUGACAGGUGGUGCAUGGUUGUCGUCAGCUCGUGUCGUGAGAUGUUGGGUUAAGUCCCGCAACGAGCGCAACCCUUAUCUUUAGUAGCCAGCGGUUCGGCCGGGCACUCUAGAGAGACUGCCAGGGAUAACCUGGAGGAAGGCGGGGAUGACGUCAAAUCAUCAUGCCCCUUAUGACUUGGGCUACACACGUGCUACAAUGGCGUAAACAAAGGGAAGCAAAGCUGUGAGGCCGAGCAAAUCUCAAAAAUAACGUCUCAGUUCGGACUGUAGUCUGCAACCCGACUACACGAAGCUGGAAUCGCUGGUAAUCGCAGAUCAGAAUGCUGCGGUGAAUACGUUCCNCGGGUAUUGUACACAGCGCCCGUC